GAUGAACGCUGGCGGCGUGCCUAAUACAUGCAAGUCGAGCGAACGGACGAGAAGCUUGCUUCUCUGAUGUUAGCGGCGGACGGGUGAGUAACACGUGGAUAACCUACCUAUAAGACUGGGAUAACUUCGGGAAACCGGAGCUAAUACCGGAUAAUAUUUUGAACCGCAUGGUUCAAAAGUGAAAGACGGUCUUGCUGUCACUUAUAGAUGGAUCCGCGCUGCAUUAGCUAGUUGGUAAGGUAACGGCUUACCAAGGCAACGAUGCAUAGCCGACCUGAGAGGGUGAUCGGCCACACUGGAACUGAGACGCGGUCCAGACUCCUACGGGAGGCAGCAGUAGGGUAUCUUCCGCAAUGGGCGAAAGCCUGACGGAGCAACGCCGCGUGAGUGAUGAAGGUCUUCGGAUCGUAAAACUCUGUUAUUAGGGAAGAACAUAUGUGUAAGUAACUGUGCACAUCUUGACGGUACCUAAUCAGAAAGCCACGGCUAACUACGUG
rnacentral:rRNA from 1 species